UACGUAGGGCGCAAGCGUUAUCCGGAAUUAUUGGGCGUAAAGAGCUCGUAGGCGGUUUGUCGCGUCUGCUGUGAAAACUCGGGGCUUAACCCCGGGCCUGCAGCCGAUACGGGCAGGCUAGAGUUCGGUAGGGGAGACUGGAAUUCCUGGUGUAGCGGUGAAAUGCGCAGAUAUCAGGAGGAACACCGGUGGCGAAGGCGGGUCUCUGGGCCGAUACUGACGCUGAGGAGCGAAAGCGUGGGGAGCAAACAGG
rnacentral:rRNA from 1 species